UACGUAGGGUGCAAGCGUUAAUCGGAAUUACUGGGCGUAAAGCGUGCGCAGGCGGCUUUGCAAGACAGCUGUGAAAUCCCCGGGCUCAACCUGGGAACUGCAUUUGUGACUGCAAAGCUAGAGUGCGGUAGAGGGGGAUGGAAUUCCGCGUGUAGCAGUGAAAUGCGUAGAUAUGCGGAGGAACACCGAUGGCGAAGGCAAUCCCCUGGACCUGUACUGACGCUCAUGCACGAAAGCGUGGGGAGCAAACAGG
rnacentral:rRNA from 1 species